GACUGUUCGGGUGGCCUGGUGGUUAGAGAGUCCACCUCAGAUGCAGGAGGUCAUGGGUUCAAACCCCAGCCGAGUUA